UUGAAAGGGAAACGAUUGAAGUCAGUCGUACCUGUGGGUAAUCAGCCUUUUGGGUGUGAUUUUGUGGAGUGUGAGGAGUUAAACGCCUUCAUGCCUGCAUAUUCGUGCACUUUGGGUGUAUUUACCCGUGUGGUAAGUUAACAUCAAUUUCGGUGGCCAUAAAAUGGCUGGAGGAAUGUAGCUUCGAUCUUGUAUUGAAGUGUUAUAGCCUUCGGUAGAUGUGGUGAUCGGGAUUGAGGAUUGCAACGGAUACCCCUCGGGGCUACCUGUCUGAUCUCUGAUCGUUGCUCUGGUGCCGAAAGCUUGCUUACGGUUAUCAAAGUCGAUGGUUAAUAGGUUAGAACGGGUUAACUUCGUUAAGGAUGUUGACGUA
rnacentral:rRNA from 1 species